UGCUAGCUGGGUGGGAAAGCUCCGCUAAUGAUUCGAGAAUCCUAAAGGAGUGUAUUGAGAAUGAGGCAAUGAACUUUCCAGCUCCACCAGCAGGUAAUAUUAUCUUACAAAUUCACUUAAUAUAUGGUUAGUUUAUCAUACUGUAUAUAUCUUUAUGUAUUUUAAACAUGGCAGGUAAGUAUUAUUUAGUGGACUCAGGAUAUGCCAACAAGCCUGGUUAUUUGGCUCCAUUUCGAAGUCAUACUUACCACUUUCAGGAAUAUCGUAGGACUAGACAACCUCGUGGUCGGGAGGAAGUGUUCAAUCAUAGGCAUUCAUCUUUGAGAAAUAUAAUUGAGCGAUGCUUUGGGUUGUUGAAGAUGAGAUUCGCUAUUUUGAGGGCAAUGCCUCCUUAUAAGUUUUCAACACAAGUAUUGAUUGUAAUGGCUUGUUGCACAUUACACAAUUUCAUCAGAAAUCAGCAUCAGUCUGAUGAUUUAUUUGAUAGUAACGAUCCUCCUCAAAGUGAUGGUGAAGAUGAUGAGAUUGUUGAGCAUGUGCCUUCGGCUCAGCUUCGAGAAAUGGAUCAGUUGCGUAAUACUAUUGCUGAUCGAAUUUGGAAUUCUCUUUAGCACUUUUGAUCCUUCUGAAAGUGAUGAUAUGAAGUGUGUUGAUGCUCUCUUAAAGGCCACAUGUGCUGUUAUGAAGAUGAUGUGUCGUUGCCAUUGUCAUCCACUUUAUGAACUUCUUAUCAAUUUUUACUGACAACUAUGUAUUGUUAAUGCUUUGUUCCAAACAUUUUAUGUACAACUUAAACUUGUUUAAUUUGUUGGUUGAAUAUUUAAA